GAUGAACGCUGGCGGCGUGCCUAAUACAUGCAAGUCGAGCGAACAGACGAGGAGCUUGCUCCUCUGACGUUAGCGGCGGACGGGUGAGUAACACGUGGAUAACCUACCUAUAAGACUGGGAUAACUUCGGGAAACCGGAGCUAAUACCGGAUAAUAUAUUGAACCGCAUGGUUCAAUAGUGAAAGACGGUUUUGCUGUCACUUAUAGAUGGAUCCGCGCCGCAUUAGCUAGUUGGUAAGGUAACGGCUUACCAAGGCGACGAUGCGUAGCCGACCUGAGAGGGUGAUCGGCCACACUGGACCUGAGACACGGUCCAGACUCCUACGGGAGGCAGCAGUAGGGAAUCUUCCGCAAUGGGCGAAAGCCUGACGGAGCAACGCCGCGUGAGUGAUGAAGGUCUUCGGGUCGUAAAACUCUGUUAUUGGGGAAGAACAAAUGUGUAAGUAACUAUGCCCGUCUUGACGGUACCUAAUCAGAAAGCCACGGCUAACUACGU
rnacentral:rRNA from 1 species